rnacentral:lncRNA from 1 species
UUUUGUACACGAAGUGCAUCCAGUUUUUGCCGUAACCCUCUCUACUUUCUUGCACAUGCUAUGUGGGUGAAAUGAUGAUACCAUGCCAACUUUCAACCUUUUCAGAGUUCNNNNNNNNNNAAUAACAAAUGAAGUCAGAAAGGAUUGAGAAUGGAUGAUGUGGUUUUGAAUGGUGCAUUUUGAACACAGAAAAACUAUGGACUUCAAAUAAGUUCAAAAAAUGAAAUCCCUUUGUAACAGACGUGUUUCCGUAUGAAACCCUGAUACUUCGAAAGAGAUUGUCCGUUUUGUACACGAAGUGCAUCCAGUUUUUGCCGUAAUCCUCUAUACUUUCUUGCACAUGCUAUGUGGGUGAAAUGAUGAUACCAUGCCAAUUUUAACCUUUUCAGAGUUCAUUUGAAAUGCUUUUCAAUAUCAGGGUCUUAUAGAUCAAAAUAAUCAAUAAAUGCAUGAUAAAUAACAAAUGAAGUCAGAAAGGGUUGAAAAUUGAUGAUGUGGCUUUGAAUGGUGCAUUUUGAACACAGAAAAACUAUGGACUUCAAAUAAGUUCAAAAAAAUGAAAUCCCUUUGUAACAG